AUUGAACGCUGGCGGCAGGCCUAACACAUGCAAGUCGAACGAGUGGCGGACGGGUGAGUAAUGUCUGGGAAACUGCCUGAUGGAGGGGGAUAACUACUGGAAACGGUAGCUAAUACCGCAUACCAUCGGAUGUGCCCAGAUGGGAUUAGCUAGGAGGUGGGGUAAAGGCUCACCUAGGCGACGAUCCCUAGCUGGUCUGAGAGGAUGACCAGCCACACUGGAACUGAGACACGGUCCAGACUCCCACGUGAGGCAGCAGUGGGGAGUAUUGCACUAUGGGCGCAGGCCUGAUGCAGCCAUGCCGCGUGUAUGAAGAAGGCUUUCGGGUUGUACAGUACUUUCAGCGGGGAGGCGUUACCCGCAGAAGAAGCACCGACUAACUCCGUGCCAGCAGCCGCGGUAAUAC
rnacentral:rRNA from 1 species